GGCCCGUUGGUCAAGCGGUUAAGACUCCGCCCUCUCACGGCGGCGACGAGGGUUCGAUUCCCUUACGGGUCACCA
rnacentral:tRNA from 1 species